ensembl:lncRNA
CGUACUGCAGCACUGCUCUGUGCACAUUGCGGACAACCUGGAGCUGAGCAAAGGUUCCCAACACUUUGGGAGCCCUCUGCUCACUGUUGCACACACAAACGUAGCGAGGCAAAGUCACCAUCCGCACAUCGGCCUUCCCCCACUGAGUGUACUGUAGCAAAGAUAGGUUUGGGAGCUCUUCGUUUCCUAUGGUCACACUAUGCAUGCGUGGAAAAUUAAUGCCAAUGACAAAACCUCUGCAAGGACAUCAGCACCCACCUGGGGAGCACCAUAGUGAGGCUGUGGAUGUCAGCAGGUGAGGAGCAUCAUUGGCUGCAAGGAGUUAAACUUGUGUUCUCUGGGGUGGGUUUGAAACACAGAGCUGUUGGGUGUAUCUCAUGUUGUCUGGUUCAGGGAUGGGUAUUUUUUUCCCUUGCCACUGAGGAGGCUUAUUGUAGUGUUGAGUUCUGUGCGCUUCUUUGAUAUUUAAGGCUAGAGAUCAUGCUGUAUAUUUCCCAGAUGGUGGAUUUGGUUUGUGUGCUUAUUUCUGCCUUUGCUCUUUCUUUUUUAACAGUUGUUAAAUUCAUUAUUUAGAGGGGAAACCCAUAUAAACGUGUAUCUGUGCUAAGGUUCAAGAAAGGCAGCAAGCAGGGGAGGAUGAAGCAGCAGUGCUGUGCUGAAACAUACAUUUGAUGACUGUUUUUAGUGCAUCUCAUUAGUAUCAGAGACCUAGCAGUGACUUCUACCUGCUGCAGGUGAUGCUGAGGCUUUCUGUGCAGCUGUACCUAUUUCAGUGCCAACCCUGCAGCUGCUUCUACUACAAUGCCCCUUCUCCUUAAGCCCGGAAAGUCACGGAGCUGCUCCCCUGGGCUGCCCCAACAAAGCCCCGCAGUGGCAGUAUUGGUAACAAGGUGACAGGGACUGCCAAAUGGCCGGAUUCAGGCUGGGGUGGGGGGCAGGAGGGGGCUUAGGCUGGGUGUAUGGGGGGGCUGCCACGGGCCUCCAGUCUCCUAAAUGGAUGAGAGGACCACGUGCCUACCCAGGUACCUCUUGUCUCUGAAACUGAUGUCCAGCCCGGGGGUGGGGGGGGGUCUCUGCCCCUCCAGCUAUCUCUGCACAAUGAAGUCCUCUAUUUUUCGCCCAUACGGCACCGACUCCAGGUCUGCCCCAUGUCACCUGGGUGGAAGGAAGGGCAGAAAGCUCCUUUGGGGGUGGAACAGCCCGGCUCUGCUCAGGGGUAGCACAACGCGGGGGGGCACCGCGUGGUCAAUACUAUUCUCCCCAAAAGCGUUUUGCGGGGAAGGAAGGAUAAAUGGAGCAAGCGCUCCAGUUUUAUUUCGCCCUCCGAGAAACUCCGGCUCCGGGUGCCGCUGGGAUGGGCUGCGCCCCGGCCCCACGGGGGCGCGCCUUGCGCUGGGGGGCUCGGGGGCGCGCAGGGCUCCCCGCGGGCGCGGCGCGGGUGCCCGAGGAGCUCUGCUUGCGGGACAGAUGGGGAAGGCACGGGUGGUUCCGGCACCCACAGUGCUUGGGGUUUGUAGGAUAAACCAUAUCUGUGUAAAUAUAACGUUCCCCCUGCACUAGGAAGCCACCGCUUCGUUUGCACCUUUCGUUUUCGACGUUUCAGGGCGAGCUGCAAUACCACAGCCCGCGCGUUAAACGGGAAAUGAAACAGAAAUGGAAAUGAACGCCCGCAUCUGUCCCGUUUUUAAGGUAAAGGCAGAAAUCACCUCGUGUCUCCCAGUCCGGCCACGUUCACCCAAGGAAGGUGGGGAGAAGUCAAUGUCCAGGGAAAAUGUGCAACCAUCAUCUGCAAACGAAGAGUGGGAAAUCCUACGGGAUACGGUGAUGGAGCAAAAGGGGGGGAUGGAAAACAUCUGUACGUCGGUUGAGCAUCGGGAGCCUUUGUGCCCGAGUCGUUUUGGAAGGCGGAGGGGCAUCGGGACUUCCCGUCCCUCCCUGUGCCCUUCCUGUGUUGCGCAGCGGUCACAGAGAAGGACGCACCGGGGAGCGCUGGGCACAGCCGUGUCCCCGAAAUUUGCACCUGCAAAGAGGGAGCGAGCCAGGCGAGGGGAAUGUGCGACCGGAUGGAGAAAUAUCGAAUGUUUCUGGCCGUGUGCGUUGCCAGAGGUUUGCACAUUUUGUCUGAAAACACCCAGAGUUAGAGGCGGAGAGGAGGGAGGGGGGAUUUUAAUAAAAACCAUUUGCCACUUGUCUUCAAUUAGAGUCCAGACAUCGAGCAAUAAGGAAAAAACCUUUUCUAAAAUAUGUAUAUUUAUAUAUAUAUAUAUUAUUAUUAUCUCGCUAGCAGUCGGGCUGAAGAGGUAAAGGCGGUUCGCACGCAACGAUUUCAGGGCAAGGAGUUAAAACGAGCGAGCGAAUUCAGGCGUCGUUGUCGCCGUUCGUGCCGGCUCCUCCUGCCCCGGCAGCUCCCCGCCUCGCCCCGGCACACGCCGCGGAGCUUCGCACCGCUUCCCCGCACGGGAAGGGCUCCUCCGCCCGCGGACGGACCCCCGACGGCAG